rnacentral:lncRNA from 1 species
AUGUCAAAUUCACAGUGGUUACCAGUAAUCUACAUAUUCUGUAUGCUGAAAGAUGUGGCCACCGGCACUAAGGAAAUGUGGAAGAUCAACAUUACGCAACAAGAGUUUACUGUGGAAACGUCCAGUAAUAUCACCAUCGACUGCAGAGUGGAAUACCCACCACCUGAAAUGAGCAAAAAGGACAUUCAGGGCUUCUGGAAGGUGAACCGUGAAGGAAGAAUUAGCCAUUGCGAACGAAAAUCCAACGAAAUCAUCUACAAUCAUAACAAUACGUUAGUGUGGCGGAGAUUCCAGGGAAGAACUAAAGCCCUCGGGAACAUUGCGAACAACAGCUGUUCUCUAUCAAUCAGCAAGAUCCAGAAUGAGGAUCAGGGGCGCUACUACUUUAGAGUGGAGACAGGAUCUAAUAGCUACAGCUUUUGCAACAAUAUGAUCACCAUUAAAGUUAUAGGACAUGUCUCCAAUGUUACCUUGAAAGCAGUGUCUCAAGAUGUCACAGAAAACCCAUUUUUUUCUACAAAUAUUCCAGGAACCUCCGCACCUUCGACAGACUUUAGCAUCUUUAUUUACGUGCCGAUUAUCGUGCUCGUUGUUGUGAUUGUGGCUGUAGCUGUGUUUCUCCUCAGACGAAGAAAAAGAAGAAGACAACCGUCCAGACAAGACUCAAGUUACUAUGUCAAUUUCCAUCCGCCUUGUGAGAUGCAGAAUGAUGGGGUAAGACUCUUGUGGAGCCUGCUGCUUCUGAUCAGAUGGAGAACAUCUACACUAAUGUUGGCUGUGGUACACAGUGGUAGGAAAUGGCCUGAGAGUGUUUUGGGACCUGAGGGGUUGGAGGGUCAAGGAGUGUUGGCAUUUCAAUGUUAAAGUUUAACCAAUGUUAAGUAGCAAAUAAGACAAUAAAUUAAAAAGCUACAUUUCA